GUCCACGCCUAACGAUGUCAACUGGUUGUUGGACGGCUUGCUGUUCAGUAACGAAGCUAACGCGUGAAGUUGACCGCCUGGGGAGUACGGCCGCAAGGUUGAACUCAAGGAUUGACGGGACCCGCACAAGCGGUGGAUGAUGUGGUUUAAUUCGAUGCAACGCGAAACCUUACCUACCCUUGACAUGUCAAGAAUUUUGCAGAGAUGUGAAAGUGCUCGAAAGAGAACUUGAACACAGGUGCUGCAUGGCCGUCGU
rnacentral:rRNA from 1 species